rnacentral:rRNA from 1 species
CGAACGAUGAAGCCCRRCUUGCUGGGCGGAUUAGUGGCGAACGGGUGAGUAACACGUGAGUAACCUGCCCUUAACUCUGGGAUAAGCCUGGGAAACUGGGUCUAAUACCGGAUAGGAGCGUCCACCGCAUGGUGGGUGUUGGAAAGAUUUAUCGGUUUUGGAUGGACUCGCGGCCUAUCAGCUUGUUGGUGAGGUAAUGGCUCACCAAGGCGACGACGGGUAGCCGGCCUGAGAGGGUGACCGGCCACACUGGGACUGAGACACGGCCCAGACUCCUACGGGAGGCAGCAGUGGGGAAUAUUGCACAAUGGGCGCAAGCCUGAUGCAGCGACGCCGCGUGAGGGAUGACGGCCUUCGGGUUGUAAACCUCUUUCAGUAGGGAAGAAGCGAAAGUGACGGUACCUGCAGAAGAAGCACCGGCUAACUACGUGCCAGCAGCCGCGGUAAUACGUAGGGUGCGAGCGUUAUCCGGAAUUAUUGGGCGUAAAGAGCUCGUAGGCGGUUUGUCGCGUCUGUCGUGAAAGUCCGGGGCUUAACCCCGGAUCUGCGGUGGGUACGGGCAGACUAGAGUGCAGUAGGGGAGACUGGAAUUCCUGGUGUAGCGGUGGAAUGCGCAGAUAUCAGGAGGAACACCGAUGGCGAAGGCAGGUCUCUGGGCUGUAACUGACGCUGAGGAGCGAAAGCAUGGGGAGCGAACAGGAUUAGAUACCCUGGUAGUCCAUGCCGUAAACGUUGGGCACUAGGUGUGGGGACCAUUCCACGGUUUCCGCGCCGCAGCUAACGCAUUAAGUGCCCCGCCUGGGGAGUACGGCCGCAAGGCUAAAACUCAAAGGAAUUGACGGGGGCCCGCACAAGCGGCGGAGCAUGCGGAUUAAUUCGAUGCAACGCGAAGAACCUUACCAAGGCUUGACAUGUUCUCGAUCGCCGUAGAGAUACGGUUUCCCCUUUGGGGCGGGUUCACAGGUGGUGCAUGGUUGUCGUCAGCUCGUGUCGUGAGAUGUUGGGUUAAGUCCCGCAACGAGCGCAACCCUCGUUCCAUGUUGCCAGCACGUCGUGGUGGGGACUCAUGGGAGACUGCCGGGGUCAACUCGGAGGAAGGUGAGGACGACGUCAAAUCAUCAUGCCCCUUAUGUCUUGGGCUUCMGCCUGCUACAUGGCCGGUACAUGGGUUGCGAUACUGUGAGG